rnacentral:misc_RNA from 1 species
AGCUAAGCGUGAGAGUGUAGUUGAAAUACAAGUAUUAAAAUGGCUAAGUUAAUUUUUGUGGUAAAGAAUUUAUGUUUAUUUAGUAUAUAAAUCACUUCAGUAUAUAGUCAAGUUUAUAGCAAAACGAAGAAUAUAUAACUUUGUAUCAUUCUGAAGCCGAAGUGUACAAUGGAUUUGACAACAUGUUUAGAACUAGCCUUGGAAGGAGAACGUCUCUGCAAGUCUGGAGAUUUUCGAGGUGGUGUAGCAUACUUUGAUGCUGCCAUUCAGGUUGGAACUGAUGAUCCAAAAACACUUAGUGCCAUCUAUAGCCAGCUGGGCAAUGCCCACUUCUACCUAGGAGAAUAUGGAAAGGCAAUGGAAUGCCAUAAGCUUGACCUUACAAUAGCAAGAGCUAUUGGUGAUCAGCUCGGAGAAGCAAAAGCAAGUGGUAACCUUGGAAACACACUAAAAGUAAUGGGGAAAUUUGAAGAAGCUGUUAUCUGCUGUAGGAGACAUCUAGAAAUUUCCAGAGAGUUAAAAGACAAGGUUGGUGAAGGUCGGGCUCUAUACAACCUUGGAAAUGUGUAUCAUGUUAAAGGUAAACACAUGGCUCGCUUAGGUCAGCAGGACCCAGGAGAGUUUCCUGAAGAGGUGAAGGUGUGCCUAGAAAAAGCAGUGGAGUACUAUGAACAAAAUAUGAUGCUAAUGAAAGAGCUAGGUGACAGAUCUGCACAAGGACGUGCCUGUGGAAACCUGGGAAAUACGUACUAUCUAUUAGGAAACUUUGCUCAAGCUGUUUCGUUUCAUCAAGAGAGGCUCAAUAUAGCAAGAGAAUUUGGAGACAAAGCAGCUGAACGCAGAGCCCACAGCAAUUUGGGUAAUGCACAUAUCUUUCUUGGAGAAUUUGAAACUGCAGCUGAACACUACAAGAAAACUUUGAGUCUUGCUGAAGAACUUGGAGACAGAGCUGUAGAAGCUCAGGCCUGUUACAGUUUAGGCAAUACCUACACUCUUCUUCGCGAUUAUCCCACUGCCAUUAAAUAUCAUCUUCGCCACUUACAGAUAGCCGAGGAGUUGAGGGAUAGAGUUGGUGAAGGUCGAGCAUGCUGGAGUCUUGGCAAUGCCUAUUCUGCCAUUGGUGAGAAUGAAAAGGCACUGCAGUAUGCUACAAGACAUUUAGAUAUUUCAAAACAGAUUGGAGACAAAGUAGGGCUUACCAGUGCACAGAUUGGAGUCCUUGAGUUACAGAAUAUUUUAGGUGUUCAUAAUCACUUAGAAGACAAGAAUACACAUGAAAAUAUAUAUGAGAACACAUCAGCAAAGACAAGAGUUUGUAGUGUUAGCAUAGAAAAUGUGGAUCUUCUAACAUCUGAUGAGGUUCAGAAUGCUGAAAAUAAAGAAAAUAUGGGUACAUGUGCAGAGACACCUGCAACCAAUUUCCUUCAUGAGGAGGGUCGUAGAUCUAGUCACGAUUCUUCUGAAUCAGAAGAAACCCAGAAGUCAUCUUCUAAAGAAAAGGUUGCGGGCAGCUCUUUUGAUGAGGAAUCCUUUUUUGACAUGCUUAGUCGGUUUCAGAGUAAGAGAAUGGAUGAUCAGCGAUGUUCCAAAACUCUCCUUGAGCAAAAUACAAGAAAUGGAACUUCUGUAGCACCAGUACCAUACUCAUCUGUGCAGUCAGAAAAUGAAGAUCAAGAAGGCCAAAAUAUAAGAGAAGAUCUCUUUGACCUGAUUGCGGGAAUGCAGAGUCGGAGAAUGGAUGAACAGAGAGCAAGCUUACCAACUCUCCCUGGGCUAGGAGUUUGUAGAAGUUUUAGUGCUAGGAACCACAUCAACAAUAAUAAUAACUCACUGGGCCAUCAUCAUCUUUUACACAGAAUGUCUGUAGAUACCGCAGCCUUGCCAGAUGAUGACUUCUUUGAUAUGUUGAUGAGGUGUCAAUCCACAAGAAUUGAAGAUCAAAGGAGCAGUAUGCCCAAUAUUGCAUCUCAACCUGCUAGGAUUUUGAGUUCAGGAACAGUUCCAAGUGAUUUACCAACACCUCAGCAUGCACCUACAGUACCAGAUGAUGAUUUUUUCAGUCUCAUCUUGCGCUUCCAGGCAGGACGUAUUGAUGACCAGAGAUCAGCACUUCCUUCUAAGUCCACCAGUGAAGUGGAUGCCAAUAAUAAAAGUAGCUGCAGCUCAUCCCGCUCAGGCAAUCUCCUGAAAUCCAGUCUUAGGCAUGGGCUCCGUGGUUCUCGUUCUUCCAAGACAGGGAAGCACUGAGGGCAAGCAUAUCUGCUGGGAGAGUAAGUCUGAGGUGAUUUAUCAUGUAUGCAGAACAGCCCUUGUUACAAGAAAAUAUAUGUUGUAGUGUUAUAUUAAAAAUAUAAUUAUGGCUGUACCUUGCUACACUCUCCUCUGAAUGUUGGUUUUUGUAACAGUGUUGUCCAGCAAUCCUAAAUGUAAAAAAAAAAAACAAUUUUUAGUUGAUACUUUGGAUAUAUUUUACUGUGUUCUUCAUCACAUUUCAAGGCUUGAAGACAUGAGUGAAAGGGGGGAAAGGAAUACACUAUACUGUAAAAAGUCCUGAACCGUUAGGAAGAUUGAAACAUAUUGGCAGAGAGUAAUAACUUGUCGUACAUCAUUUGGGAGUUAAGGAAAAUAGUGGUUGAAGGCUUGUUAUAUGUUAUUUAAAUAAAGAAAUCAUGCACAAAUUGUGCUUGAGUAUAUUCAAAAAUAUUGAUGUAAAGAAUUUUAAAUUCACUAAACAAGCCAAUUAGGUGAAAGGAUAUUCCUCUUAUUUUGAGGAUAAGCAUUUGUAGCGUAAGAUUUAACGUAAGUAUAUUCAUCGAAAGGAUUAAGAGGGUUGUGAAGUGUAACUCAUUCAACAGUAGUCUAAUUCAGUGUUAGCUUUGAAGCAAAGAUUUAUUUAUAAUUUGAUUUUCUGUUAAAAACCCGAGUGAUUUUGUUUGAUUCAACAUGUGAAAUGUUCAGAGAAAAUCUUAAUGAGCAUUAACUACUUGUUUUGUAAUAAUUAUGAAAUUGUUUAACAGAGGCUCAGUGUUUCUUAAAAAAUUCAAGCAACUAUACAGUGUGUGCUUGUGAUUAAAAGUAAUUGUUCUCUUGAGGAAACCUCUCUUUGUUAAUCGGGUAGAUUCAAGGUAAAGACAUGUAAAUUUCAAGAGCAUAUUAAAUGGUUGGAUUCACAAAAAAAGAUACAUUGUCACAAAUCCUGUUGAAUCAUUUCUUUACACUAAAUGUGUGGUUAAAAGAUAAUCUUGUUAUAUUAAUAUAUGUGCUAUUGUGUGUUGUAUAGACUUGUUUGUGAAAGGUUAACCGUAUAGUUUUAUUAAUAAAGUAUGUACGUUGGUUAAUGUAUAGCAUAUUAGUAUUAUUUGUCCAUCAUGUUAUAAAAUAUUUUUAAUCAAUGUAAAAUGUAGGAAAACUUGAAACCUAUAGAGCUCUCAGUAUCUUUGAUUAAAUUAUUUUGUGACCUUUCCAGAUUUUCCUAUUUCAAUGUUGUCAUUUUUUUCAUUCAAAAAAAAUAAAAAUAAAUAAACUGCAGGUGUAU